CGGGGGGAGGGAGGAGGCGGAGCUAGGGUUUUGACCAGAGGAGCCGGAGGAGGAGGCGGCGGAGGAGGAGGAGGAGCGGGAUUUGGAGAGGAGUUCGCGCUUCUCCUCGGCGCGAAGCUUUUGCAUCUCCUUCUGUUCGAUCUCGGAGUGUUUGAGGAGCUUCUUGCCACCGAAGUCGGCCUCGCGGGCCUGCCGCUUCUUCUGCAGCUCGCGCUUGAGCAGAUCCAUCGCUGCUGCUUCGGUCCUCCCCCAGGCGUCGGAUGAGACGAAGGCGAUGGCGGUCGCCUCCGAACUGGGGGAAAAUAUGGUCAUUUAGAACGCCUCCAAGAAGAGCCGGCUGUUGAUUCAGGAUACCCGCCGCCUUCUAGGCGAAUGUGUUAUUUUUCGGGCUUCUCA
rnacentral:lncRNA from 1 species